GGCGGCUCAGUGGUAGAGUGCUUGCCUCGCAUGCAUGAGGCCCUAGGUUCGAUUCCUUAGUACCA
rnacentral:tRNA from 1 species